CAAUUAUUUAUUUUUCUGCAAUAAUUCUACUUCUAGAACCUAAAUUUUGAAAGCCUACUAAUUUUUCAGAAUUAAUUCGAGACCCCACUUUUUCUCCCCUUCCUACCUACGGUUACUUUUUGCUUAAACUUUAAAAGUUGUUUGAAAAUUUUUGCUGAAACUUGUAAAAUUUGUUUGAAGUUCGUAUAUCUCUCACAUAUUGCAAGGUUUCUUAAUUAUUUUAUUGAAUUUCCUACAUAAAUGCAUUCAAAUAUGAGUUGACAUUAUUGGAAAAGAUCCGUCAUCCUAAAGUAGUUCAGUUUUUUGGUGUCGUUACUCAGAAUUUGCCUAUGGUGAUUGUUUCUGAAUACCAUCCGAAGGAACGUGUUGAUGUAAAAUCUUUCAGUUUUGAUGGAUCUUAUUACAAGCUUUCAACUCUUCUUAGCACGACUUCUGACAGAACAAAGGUUUGAUAUAUCUUUACACGAUCGCAUAUCACAUAUGAACGAUCGCAUAUCCCACCUGAAAUAUCGAUCACCCUUGGUAAAACAACCGUUUAGAUAUUCUACACGAUUGUUUGCUUAAGGAUACACGAUCAUUUUGUAACUAUUUUUUUUUAUUAUCCUUUUUUCUUUUUAUACUAGAAUCAAAAUCAAUUGUUUGAUGAUAUUAACAACAUGUAUGAUGAUCUUCGUGAUGAUUCUAGUCAUCACAAUCUGGACAAGAAUGAUGACCAUCAAAAUAACAAACAUGUGAUCAUCCAUGAGAAUCCAUCUGUUCAAGAGUCACAUCUUCAAGAAUCUACUGUAGAAACUCAACAGGAACAAAAAUGAACAACGCAAAUCAACAUCAAGAGCAAUCAGGCAGUGAUAUUAGCAUAGAUGGCAGAGAUGCACAUUUGAUAUUAACUAUAAGUAAUAUAGCAGAAAAUAUGGAAGGUCAUACUCAAACAGAAAAGGGACUGCUAGAAAUGAUUGAAAAUCUUCCGUUGGUAAGCCAACCACUUCCACUUUGUGAGAUGCUACCAUUAACUACUGGCAAAGGUCUUGCAUUAGUUUAAUUGGUAUGUGUGCCCUAAAGGGAUAAAAGCUCUUGGCAGUGAAAGACUUUACAAAACCAUUCAUCAAUUUUAAUUUGAAAAUUCCAAAAUACCAGUACAUUGACAAUAUUUAGAAUCAAAGUUCUAAAUAAAGAACUAAGUAUGCUUUUAAAUUAAAAGAUACAUAGAACUUACUCUUGUUGACGUCUCUGAAUCUAUAAUCCACCGAAUUGGGGACACCACCCGUUGGAGACCUUCCUAUCUUCGAAGAUGAGAUUGGUUUGAAGAAAACAAUUGGAAUGAAAAAAAAAAUUAGAGAGAAACUAUGUAACACCCCCAAUAUCAAGGUAUUUCUCUCAAGCUAAAUUUUUUAAAUUUUAAGGAAUUUGGUUGUCGUGUGGAUUUAGCAGGAAGUGAAGGGGGCUUUUAUGAAAAAAUAUACUAAUACUAAAGGUUAAAUAAUAAUAAUAGAAUUAAUGUUAUUAUUAAUUUAAAAUAUCAAUUCUUUAUUGAUUCACGUGCAACCCCAUCUCUUUCUCCUUCACUCUUCCUCUUCCCCGUGCCCACCGCCACCUGCCUCCCUUAGCCAUUUUAUAUUACUCUUGGACGUCAGCCGGCCACGUCGUCACCGAUCUCUUUGUCUCCGUUGAAGUCGAAGCACCGUUCGUCGUGAGUUCGAACUCUCGGCAUCGCGUCUCACCUCUGUUUUCCAGCCAAGUUGUGAUUCAUUCGCGCGUAGCUCCUUUGACGUUCGCGCCACCACAUUCUGCUCCAGGUGACGAGGAACGUCACCGAUUGACCUAUCAUCUCACCGGCGUUGUUACUUAGUUGAAGCAGUCGUCGACCAGACUUGAGCCCGUCGCGUCUGUCGAAGUGCCGUCGCGCGGCUCUUCACCUUCCAGCCAUGGGUUGUAAGCUGAAGUUUGUUUUUCGUUUGUUGAUUAGAUCUGAUCUAUUACACGCGUCGAUUCUAGUUAUUCGAAGUUGUUGCCCCCAUUUUACUCUAAUUUUUGGGAUUUUUGUGGUAAGUUGUAUUGGUGAGUGUGGUGGUUUUACAUUGUAAUUAUCCUUGGGUUGUAGUUUUGGAUAAUUAGUUAAAUUGUUAAUUGAUUCUUGAAGGUA